rnacentral:rRNA from 1 species
AUUGAACGCUGGCGGCAGGCCUAACACAUGCAAGUCGAGCGGAUGAAGGGAGCUUGCUCCUGGAUUCAGCGGCGGACGGGUGAGUAAUGCCUAGGAAUCUGCCUGGUAGUGGGGGAUAACGUCCGGAAACGGGCGCUAAUACCGCAUACGUCCUGAGGGAGAAAGUGGGGGAUCUUCGGACCUCACGCUAUCAGAUGAGCCUAGGUCGGAUUAGCUAGUUGGUGGGGUAAAGGCCUACCAAGGCGACGAUCCGUAACUGGUCUGAGAGGAUGAUCAGUCACACUGGAACUGAGACACGGUCCAGACUCCUACGGGAGGCGGCAGUGGGGAAUAUUGGACAAUGGGCGAAAGCCUGAUCCAGCCAUGCCGCGUGUGUGAAGAAGGUCUUCGGAUUGUAAAGCACUUUAAGUUGGGAGGAAGGGCAGUAAGUUAAUACCUUGCUGUUUUGACGCUACCAACAGAGUAAGCACCGGCUAACUUCGUG